GCUGUGGUGUCAUCUGGUCUUGUUGUGACUCAUGUAGCCUUCACCCGGAAGUUGUUUGCUGUCGUUAGCAGUGUGGCAUUGUGGUGUUAGGUUAGGGACCUAUUGUCGUGGUUUUGUGAUGGUCUGAUUGUUGGGUUGCUAGAUUUAUGUUACUGGUCAGAGUGCUCAAUUUGGUUGGAUUCCUCAGCAAUGGCCGAGAAACGACGCGAGCAGGAGUUCUUU
rnacentral:lncRNA from 1 species